rnacentral:rRNA from 1 species
AUGAGUGAGGAUGGACACCAACAAACAACAUUCAGGGCUGCAGUGAUGCACAGUGGGACUGUACCACUACCCAGGAGCCCUCCCGCACAAAGCUGCUGGCCUGUACAACAACUGUCGGGAUAUGUGCCACUAAACAGUGGAGCAGCACCGCACAUUUCAAGGGGCUCAACAAUGACAAGUCCUGUGCAAGCGCUAAGAGGAGCUGUGCCACAACUUUUGAUGCAUACGACACUAGCAAGAGGUCCUGCACGACCUCCUAUGGGUCCUAGACCAGCAAUUUGGCCUGCACCGCAAACUAUGGUGGCUAUACAACCACCGCGAGGGCCUGCCGCGGCAAACACAACCUAUGUGGCUAUUCCUGGACUGGCGCCAUCGCCUGCAUCAUCAGCAACAGUUGAUGGCAGGUAUGGACAGCACCCAGGUUCUUCAACUACACAAGAAAAAAAUGCCAAUGCAAUUCCAUCUCCUAUUGUGCAAGCUCCUGGUGGACAUGCGCACCAGCCGCUCAGUACGGCAUCUCUACAUGCAGCUGUUGCUGCAGCACAAGGUACUACGAUGGUUGAACCACAGUUUGGAAGACCUAGUACCACACUUGGCCCUAUAAUUCCUAGAGACCCUCCAAAAUCAAAAACAAAAAGGGAGGGCAAAGUCAAAAGGAAUUCAAUCAACACUUGA